GCUUUGGAAGAUGGUGGGCGAUUCGCAAGAGGAUCUGUGAAAGAUGAUUGAACAAUGUUAUAUAAUCAAAAAUAACUUUAGGAAGCCUAAGCUAAUACUGACAGAACACAUAAGAGUAGCCUCAUGCAUAGGGACAGCCAUAAGGACUGGGCUGUCUGGUCCCAAGCAAAUGUCACUGGAGAUGAGUUUUCAGAGGAUCCAGUUCUGGAGCUAAAAAUUACAAGAGGUUUCUUUCUCAUGUGGAUGCAGAUGAUGAAGGAACAAAGAGCUUCAGUUUGAGGAGAGGGUUGAGCCCCAUGUCUCAAUCCAUGCUUAUUCCACCCCACCCAUGAUGUCCCCAGUCCAGGGCUGGUGGGGAAGCCACUCCUUGCUGAGCACCCCUGCAGUGUCUGCAAGCUGCACAUUGCAGAGCACUCAAACACCAAGACAUUUAAAAAAUAUUACAGAACCCACGUUUUAAUAUUCCCUUAAACUUCUACAGUUUAGCACAUCUUUGAUUGUACCACAGAGUUAAUUUAGGCCUUCAAAGGCAGAGAAACCUGAGAUCUUAACUGCAGAAAUCAGAGUCACUCGGGACAGUGAUUAUCCCUGGUUUAAUCAAAAAGCAGUUGUACAGCCCAGUCCAGAGGCUGACCAUACAGUCUAAACCUCCCACCAGUAGCACCCAAGUGGGUUUGGCUCACUCCCCACCACUGAUGACCCCCCAGCUCCCCACUGUCAAACAGAGGUCCCUGGGCUGCAGCUGUUCCCCACCUUGAAAUCUGGGGGACUGCUGUGGGCAAAACCUGGGAGCUCCUCUACCUACCACCAGCCCUAGGAAGGACAGAACAUUCUCCCAUCUUGCUGCUGCCAAAAUAGUCUCCUGUUUCUCUGCUGCCAAAGCUGGGGGUUGAGGAUUGCUAAGCUUGAAGACCUCCUGCAGCUGAGCACUGACUGAUGCCAGCCAGGAGCACCUUGGGGAUUCCCCAUCCUUUGCCCUGCCAGUCCCAGGUAGAGAGGGAGAGAAAAGUGCUCGGUCAGAGAUUCAACAGUUCCAUCACCUGCUCUGGGGCAGCUUCCAAAUCCACCAACCACACUGUGCUGCAAGCCCAGCUGCUCCAGUGGCUGUCUGAGCAGGUGCAGAUUCUUAAAUUCCUGUGGCAACUGUUAGUCUGCUGAAACAGAGGUGAUAAAAUGAGAAAGCAGGAGGAAGAGCAGGAUAGGGAAGAGGAGGAUGGGAGCAGGAAUGUAUCCAUUCCACAACUCCAUACACACUCCAAGCAUUUAAG
rnacentral:lncRNA from 1 species